GAUGAACGCUAGCGACAGGCCUAACACAUGCAAGUCGAGGGGCAGCGAGGAUGUAGCAAUACAUUGUCGGCGACCGGCGCACGGGUGAGUAACGCGUAUGCAACCUACCCGACACAGGGGGAUAACCCGGAGAAAUCCGGACUAAUACCGCAUAAAACAGGGGGUCCCCGCAUGGGAAUAUUGUUAAAGAAUUAUCGGACAAGGAUGGGCAUGCGGGACAUUAGGUAGUUGGGGGGUGUAACGGACCACCAAGCCGACGAUGUCUAGGGGUUCUGAGAGGAAGGUCCCCCACACUGGUACUGAGACACGGACCAGACUCCUACGGGAGGCAGCAGUGAGGAAUAUUGGUCAAUGGGCGGGAGCCUGAACCAGCCAAGUCGCGUGAGGGAAGACGGCCCUACGGGUUGUAAACCUCUUUAGUCGGGGAGCAAAAAGGAUCACGCGUGGUCCAUUGAGCGUACCCGAAGAAUAAGCAUCGGCUAACUCCGUG
rnacentral:rRNA from 1 species